CCUACGGGUGGCAGCAGUGAGGAAUAUUGGUCAAUGGCCGGAAGUCUGAACCAGCCAUGCCGCGUGAAGGUCAGUGCCCUAUGGGCGUUAAACUUCUUUUGUGCGGGAGCAAUAAUGGUCACGUGUGGCCAGACGAGAGUACCGUACGAAUAAGCAUCGGCUAACUCCGUGCAAGCAGCCGCGGUAAUACGGGGGAUGCAAGCGUUAUCCGGAUUUAUUGGGUUUAAAGGGGGCGUAGGCUGUGAGGUAAGUCAGCGGUGAAAUGCCCCCGCUCAACGGGGUGAAGUGCCAUUGAUACUGCCUUGCUUGAAUGCGGAUGCCGUGGGAGGAAUGUGUGGUGUAGCGGUGAAAUGCAUAGAGAUCACACAGAACACCGAUUGCGAAGGCAUCUCACGAAUCCGCGAUUGACGCUGAUGCACGAAAGCGUGGGUAUCAAACAGGAUUAGAUACCCUUGUAGUC
rnacentral:rRNA from 1 species